CCAGCAGCCGCGGUAAUUCCAGCUCCAAUAGCGUAUAUUAAAGUUGUUGCAGUUAAAAAGCUCGUAGUUGAAUUUGUGGCUUGUGCCGCGGCGUCCAUUUGCUUGGUUCUGCUGUGGCCUUGCCAUCUUUGGGUGGAUCCUGUGUGGCAUUAGGUUGUCGUGCAGGGGAUGCCCAUCGUUUACUGUGAAAAAAUUAGAGUGUUCAAAGCAGGCUUAUGCCGUUGAAUAUAUUAGCAUGGAAUAAUAAGAUAGGUCUUUGGUCCUAUUUUGUUGGUUUGCGGGCCGGAGAAAUGAUUAACAGGGACAGUUGGGGGUAUUCGUAUUCCAUUGUCAGAGGUGAAAUU
rnacentral:rRNA from 1 species